UUUUCCAUUAUGCAUCCAUAGUUCUUCAUAAGACAUGGUAGGUUUCUAUUAAGGAAAUUUUAAGACGCCUGUUUUUAAGUAUAACUGAAUUAGACUUUUUUUUUUUUAACCGCUUAGAAGUUUCUUUAAUGAAGCUGAAUUACAGUUUAGUUAUCUGUUGGUAUUAGAUACAAUAUUGCCUCCAGAACUGCUUUCUAUUGAUAUUCUGGUUAAUAAUGGAUCGCAAUUUCGCAGAAGAUCAUCUGGAAUAUAAAGUGGCAUUUGCACCUUUAUGAACAACCUGCCUUGUUUGAUGGAAUGUGCGCAUGUUGGCAGAAAGUCGUAGCAAGUGACGUACGUUGCUUGGUUAAAACCCAAUGCUAGUUCCCUCGAUGACUCGACAAAACACAAUCACACCAUGUUAGGUUGUUUAAGGAUAACGGAUGAAACUUUUAGGUAUUCUCUUCUGUAGCACUGGAUUUCGCUGGAUAAUUUUGGUUCCUUAGCUGCUGGGAGACUUCUUCUGCAGAUAUUCUGACGUCUCUAUUUCUGACAAGCGCGAGCGCCUUUAUAUGGUUCUUGGACACCCGGACGACUGUGAUUGCUUUCGAGGCGCUCUUCCACUUCAUCUCCAUUUCCGGUUGGAACGCCGUUGACGUCAUCACUACAGAGUCCUAUCCGGCAACACUCGGGUAACACUUAUGGGAUAGGAUUAUAUAUUACUAACAGAGUGCUAGAAUUAUUAAUGAGUACUGGUUACGGUUUUCUGAGCGCCGUAAGUCGUCUAGCAGCCAUCCUCGGCAACCUGACCUUCGCCCACUACAUCAGUGUUUCCAAAGCCCUUCCCGUCCUGACCACAGCCACCGUCCUCAUGGUGGGAGCUCUGGCCGCCCUCAAACUUAAGGAAACAAAGGACAACCUCAUGUGAGAGUCGUGACAACAUACGCAACAUACGUGAGACCAUACAACAUGCGCAAGAUGUGUUGAGUGGAAGCACCGCUUUUGUAUAUUUGUGUGAGCCAGUUUUGGCUAAAGGACAUCGGUGUACGCGAGACAAAAAGGGAUCUUUGGAUCACAAAGGACUUAGUUUGUCUUCAAAGAAUCGUUGUGUUGCAAAUCUAUGUGAAAAAUCCGAAAUACAGAGAGAUUCACCCUUGCUUUAGCUAAAAUUCAUCUGCAGGUGCCAGUCGUAGUAAAUAAGAUGUCUCGUUGCUUUUUCCGGAUCAUGCAAUGAAGCUGUAUGACAUAUCCUCCAAACAAAAUAGCUUCUGGUUUUGAGUUUGAAAAAAAGGAAAAUGGUCAAGAAAGGUUUAUUUGUCAGAUAAUAACUGUGGAAGUAUCCAAUGGAGAUGUAAAAAAAGAAGAGCGAAUCUCUAGCGGCUUCAAACGAAGAUUCAAAUCCUUCUCCCGUAGUCUCAGAUAAUGUAAAGAAAUCAUUCUUGUGUAGAAAUAAUCAGAAAUGAAGGUGAAAAUUUCUGAUGUAUGAGCUGAUGUUUGGUGCCCCAGAGACUUAAAAAAAAUAAAAAAAAAUCUUGAAAGGUUUAUAUAUGGAAUUUAAAUUAGAAUUCCAUUAAUAAAUCUUUAAUAUUAUCGUAUUGAUCAAAGUAGAGAAAAAUGAGGGAUAGUGCGCAAAUGAAGGAAUUGGAAACAAUGAACGGUCUGUCACGUGUCUUCAGACUACGAAAGCCUGCAGAUGGAAACGAGAGAGCUUUCCGAAAUCCUUUGUUACAUAAACGUGACAGCGUAGCAGUCCUUCCAUAUGAAACUAUCGAAAGUGAAGCGCACACAGAUUUAUAAAUAUGGGAAAUAAAGAGCAGUAAAUAUUUUCGUUGAAUCUGACGUUCCAGUUUUGAAAAAAGAUUCUAUUUGUAAUAUUGUCUAUAACCUAUCUAUAUAAUAGAGAAAAUAACAUUUUAUGUCGCUUGUGAGAUUGGAAAAUGUACGAUGUAUCAAAGUGUGUAUUAAAUGUUAUGCACUUGAAAACUUCA